AGAACGAACGCUGGCGGCAGGCCUCAAACAUGCAAGUCUAGGGGGUGUAGCAAUACAUCACCGGCGGACGGGUGCGUAACACGUGGGAAUAUACCUUUUGGUUCGGAACAACGCAGGGAAACUUGCGCUAAUACCGAAUGUGCCCUUACGGGGAAAGAUUUAUCGCCAAAGGAUUAGCCCGCGUAGGAUUAGCUAGUUGGUGAGGUAAUGGCUCACCAAGGCUCCGAUCCUUAGCUGUUCUGAGAGGAAGAUCAGCCACACUGGGACUGAGACACGGCCCAGACUCCUACGGGAGGCAGCAGUUGGGAAUCUUGGACAAUGGGGGAAACCCUGAUCCAGCCAUGCCGCGUGAGUGAUGAAGGCCUUCGGGUUGUAAAACUCUUUCGACGGGGACGAUAAUGACGGUACCCGUAGAAGAGCUCGGCUAACUUCGCGCCAGCAGCCGC
rnacentral:rRNA from 1 species